rnacentral:rRNA from 1 species
GACGAACCGUGCGAACGUUGUUCGGAAUCACUGGGCUUAAAGGGCGCGUAGGCGGGCGACAUAGUCGGGGGUGAAAUCUUUCGGCUCAACCGGAAAAUAGCCUUCGAUACUGGUCGUCUGGAGGGGGGUAGGGGCGUGUGGAACUUCCGGUGGAGCGGUGAAAUGCGUUGAUAUCGGAAGGAACUCCGGUGGCGAAAGCGACACGCUGGACCUCACCUGACGCUGAGGCGCGAAAGCCAGGGGAGCGAACGGG